rnacentral:rRNA from 1 species
UACCAGCACCCCGAGUGGUCGGGACGUUUAUUGGGCUUAAAGCAUCCGUAGCCGGUUCUGCAAGUCUUCCGUUAAAUCCACCUGCUUAACAGAUGGGCCGCGGAAGAUACUAUAGAGCUAGGAGGCGGGAGAGGCAAGCGGUACUCGAUGGGUAGGGGUAAAAUCCGUUGAUCCAUUGAAGACCACCAGUGGCGAAGGCGGCUUGCCAGAACGCGCUCGACGGUGAGGGAUGAAAGCUGGGGGAGCAAACCGG